UACAGAGGGGGCAAGCGUUGUUCGGAAUUACUGGGCGGAAAGGGCGCGUAGGCGGCCUGUUAAGUCGAACGUGAAAUCCCCGGGCUCAACCCGGGAACUGCGUCCGAUACUGGCAGGCUUGAAUUCGGGAGAGGGAUGCGGAAUUCCAGGUGUAGCGGUGAAAUGCGUAGAUAUCUGGAGGAACACCGGUGGCGAAGGCGGCAUCCUUGACCGAGAUUGACGCUGAGGCGCGAAAGCCAGGGGAGCAAACGGG
rnacentral:rRNA from 1 species